AAAAAGACAUGAGGUGUCUGCCAUACUAUCUAUGUGGCUAAUAAGCAGAUGGAGAGCUGUGUGGCCACCAUAUAAGAACUCUCACAGAAUGUCAUUGGCGAUAAAAAGCUAGGAAAUUCCAACGACCGCUUGGGAAGAACUUGGCUGUCGUGUGCUGUGCGAGUUGUGGUAAGCUAUACAUUCAUAGAAAUUGGUUCUUGCACUGUAACAUUAACUUCGUUUCUGAGGUGCUUUAUCCCAUGUUUUCCUUUUUUUUUUUUUUUUUGCAGACACUGAUAAUGUAGCACGAGGAAAAGAGCAGCUGGCUGCAUUGGACCUGGUGAAUGAAGAUGGCAGGAACCAGCACAGAAGGCAGCGACGGCAUGCUGCAAGAUAAAUUUUUUCAGAUGAGCAGAGUGUGUCUGGUGCAGACAAUGGUGGCUUUUUACAAGGCUCAGAGGAAACUUUUCCAACACACUCAUGUCUGCAAGCAAGCUUCGCUCCCUCUCGUGAGCCUCUAGUCCUGCUAAUAUUACCAGUAGCCGCUCGACUGAUGUGCCUUUCACGGUGAUGACCUCUGAGGACUCUGGGUCUUCAGCCAUGCCUACAUUAUCAGUGAAAGGUAAAACUUGCUGAAAGGGAUUCGCAGAAGUGAGUAGAAGGAGCAUUAGCUGUCUGUACAUGUACUGCCAUCUGUAUAUUCUUACAAAUAAAUGUAACGGCUGAUUACUUUUUAAUGACAAAAUGGAACCACCUUGUUUCACUGCUGAGUUGCAUGUGGGCUCACUCAGCUGCCAACAGCUCCUGUAGCAGUUGUGGUAAAAUACUAACUCAAAUUUAGUGAGUAGGUAUUGUAUCUUUUAUUGUGCAUUAAUUAAGAAGUUUAGAAACUCUUAUUGCCAUUCAUUAGUAUUGAAGGAAAUCUAGUUGUCUUCUCUGAUAUGCUAAUGUGAAACAUUGUUUUGCUUUCAGAAGAAAAUUCUGAAGGCGUUUGAGGAGAUGAGAGCAGAGCUCUCGGCACAGGGAGGCAUUUUAAAGAAGUUGGAAGUGUUGUACUUGCUGUAAACACAUGCCCCAGAGUUCCAGACCUGUCUUGAAAAUUGAAAAUUGCUUUUAUUUUUCCCAAACAACAAAAUUGGGGAUAGGACCAUAGACUAAAAGCUACAAAAGUGUAGCUUGAGUGCAUCUGAGGCCCAACAUAAGUAAAUACAUGGCAGAGAAACAAAAACGCAGUCAACAAUCAGUCAUAACAUGAUACAUACACACAUGAUUACAUUCAAACAAAAUAUCAAUUGAAAGAGCCAACAUUCAUAUAUAUGGCAAUAAAAUGUUUCAACAUCUGAAAACAGUCACAAGAAUCCGAAAUUUCUGAAUACAAGUUGUAAUAAAUGAAAUAUUCUAGAAGUCCCUUGUGAACAAUUUACAUAAAACAAAAGUUAUAUACGGGACAUUACAAGAUAUCGCCUAAAUUCUUUAAGUGUGAGGGUAAAUAUAGUACUUUAAUUCGUUUCGUAUGUAUUUAGUAUCAAUGGGAUAAGGAAUUGCAAAGUUUGAUCACCAUAGUUCAUUCUGGUUCGAGGAACAGUCCACUUUACAGCACAUCUAGUACGAACAACUUUGUCCGUUGGCAGCAGUGUCUUUGAUGUACUACCAUUGACAUCCCAUGGAGGGUUGCAGGAGCUCGAGAGUCAACUCUCUACUGCCUAGAGUAGGAAUAACCUUGUAAGUUUUAUCUUAUGUUUAUUAUUGUUUGAAGUUAGCAUUGGGCACUCAUUUUUAAUGAAUUUCAGCCAUAUAAUAGAAUUCACUGGCAUUGUGGCUGUCAUGUUGGUAGUACUACUUGCAUGGUAAAAGCCUGUGCCUUUAAUCGCUCUGUUUAUAUAUGGCUUGCCUCCAGCAGCAGGAAAUGCUGUGAAUAAGGUUCAAAGGUAGCAUUUGUGGUAUUAUAUGCCUUAUUUGCAUACAUAUGCUGAAUAUUUUACCUGUAAAAUGAUUAUGUACAUAUGGUCAUUGAUGCCUACUGCCUAUCCAUUUUACUGGUCAUUGAUGCCUGUCCAUUUUACUGAAUGUAGCCUGCAAAACUGGCAAAAAUGACUUAAAUGAUUGCAUUGUCCAUUUUCAUUAGUGCCCUUGCGACAUAGCAAGUUAUUAGGCACUUGCUCGGUUUUAUGCUGUAGUAAGAAUAAUAUGCUGCUAUAGCGGUCUUUUAUAAUGUUUUUGUUCUUAGGUUUCCUGCCUGCCAACAGUAGGACGAUCGUCCUUGCGGGAUGCCCUGCGCUGCAUAAUGCGGUGGUGCAUGCGAGACAGUUUUGCCCAAGGGUUUAGCAUGAUGGGGAGGAAAGGGUGGAAACCAUUCAUGGGCCUCCACCUUCUCAGUGUUAUGACUGGCAAGCCAGCUAAAGCAUUUAUUUUUUUCUCCUGUUUUCUGCAGGUAUAUCAUACCUGCCAACUCUACCAAUCUGUCUGGGAGACUCCCAAUUGUAUGGACACGGCCAUAAGCUUCUCGAAAAACUGCCCCAGCUCACUGAAAAAAAUGAAAUAAAGAGAAAGACAGAAAAAUACAUGCCAUGCAGCACAGCCGCAUCCUUAAUUGCCAUUAUAUGCUAGGUAACUAGCCUAAGUCGGAUUUAAAUCCAAGCCAUUAGUUUGUAGGCAUUGUAGGCCUAAUUCAGUUCACUUCAGAUCAAGACUUGCAGUGAGAGCUGCUUAAGAGUCAAAGGUCUAAUAUGCGUUGCACAAUGACCGGUUUCCUGAAGUCAGCUUCACUGCUCUAGAAGCCUGUAAUUUGGCGAAGCAAAUAAGAGAGGAAAGGGGCCACUGUAACGGGACAUUGUAUGUGUUCCUUAAUUAUACCUGCGUGCAUGCGCGCCGUCUCCGGUCACAUUAAGAACCUCAAGACGUGUGAUAACUAUAGUGGCAGACAUUAUAAUGAGCUGUUUCUGAUGUUGCUGUGAUACUCAAAAAAAAAAAAAAAAGAAAUCUAAUUGUUUUUUUUUUACGUAACAGAUCAUGUUAGCUAAACGAGACACCUCACAUCCAGCCUCAAAGCUUGGUGACACCUUGUUCUUAAGCCGGUGCUGUUGUGCCUGCCUUAACUGAAAUUAACAGUCGAACCUUGUUAUAGCAUUGCACACAGGCAAAUUAAAUUAUGGCUUAUGUACUGAAUCACCUAGAGAGAAAUUAACUGCUGGGGAUAAUUUCAAUUAAUUUGACCUGCACAUGUAUGAAUAUGAGGCAUAGGCAGUUCUAAAAAAUUUGGGAUUUAAAUAAAUUGUGAAAUAUUUGAAACAUUUGUGAGUGUAAAAUCUAAAUCUGGUUCCACGGUAUUGUAUUUGAACUUUUCAGAGGCAGCAAAGAACUUCCCUGAUGCCACCGACAUGAUGCUGCGAUCAUAUGCUGCUGAUUGGCAGUGUUGCACUCCAUCAAGGAUUCAGAGAAGCGUUGGAGUGCACUGGAGGAUGCCAGCUGUGCCGAGUAGUGUAUAGAAUAAAUCGGUUUUGGAGCAGAGCAUUCAGAAACAAUAAAGUGACUUUUUCCAUGCAAGUA